AACGAACGCUGGCGGCAUGCCUAACACAUGCAAGUCGAACGAGACCUUCGGGUCUAGUGGCGCACGGGUGCGUAACGCGUGGGAACCUGCCCUUAGGUUCGGAAUAACUCCCCGAAAGGGGUGCUAAUACCGGAUAAUGUCUUCGGCCCAAAGAUUUAUCGCCUUUGGAUGGGCCCGCGUUGGAUUAGCUAGUUGGUAGGGUAAAAGCCUACCAAGGCGACGAUCCAUAGCUGGUCUGAGAGGAUGAUCAGCCACACUGGGACUGAGACACGGCCCAGACUCCUACGGGAGGCAGCAGUGGGGAAUAUUGGACAAUGGGCGAAAGCCUGAUCCAGCAAUGCCGCGUGAGUGAUGAAGGCCGUAGGGUUGUAAAGCUCUUUUACCCGGGAUGAUAAUGACAGUACCGGGAGAAUAAGCUCCGGCUAACUCCGUG
rnacentral:rRNA from 1 species